rnacentral:rRNA from 1 species
AGUGAACGCUGGCGGUAGGCCUAACACAUGCAAGUCGAACGGCAGCACAGUAAGCGCUUGCUCUUACGGGUGGCGAGUGGCGGACGGGUGAGGAAUACAUCGGAAUCUACCUUUUCGUGGGGGAUAACGUAGGGAAACUUACGCUAUUACCGCAUACGACCUACGGGUGAAAGCAGGGGAUCUUCGGACCUUGCGCGAUUGAAUGAGCCGAUGUCGGAUUAGCUAGUUGGCGGGGUAAAGGCCCACCAAGGCGACGAUCCGUAGCUGGUCUGAGAGGAUGAUCAGCCACACUGGAACUGAGACACGGUCCAGACUCCUACGGGAGGCAGCAGUGGGGAAUAUUGGACAAUGGGCGCAAGCCUGAUCCAGCCAUACCGCGUGGGUGAAGAAGGCCUUCGGGUUGUAAAGCCCUUUUGUUGGGAAAGAAAAGCAGCAGGUUAAUACCCCGCUGUUCUGACGGUACCCAAAGAAUAAGCACCGGCUAACUUCGUG